UCCGUAGGGUGAACCUGCGGAGGGAUCAUUACAGAGUUGCAAAACUCCCUAAACCAUUGUGAACGUUACCUAUACCGUUGCUUCGGCGGGCGGCCCCGGGGUUUACCCCCCGGGCGCCCCUGGGCCCCACCGCGGGCGCCCGCCGGAGGUCACCAAACUCUUGAUAAUUUAUGGCCUCUCUGAGUCUUCUGUACUGAAUAAGUCAAAACUUUCAACAACGGAUCUCUUGGUUCUGGCAUCGAUGAAGAACGCAGCGAAAUGCGAUAAGUAAUGUGAAUUGCAGAAUUCAGUGAAUCAUCGAAUCUUUGAACGCACAUUGCGCCCGCCAGCAUUCUGGCGGGCAUGCCUGUUCGAGCGUCAUUUCAACCAUCAAGCCCCCGGGCUUGUGUUGGGGACCUGCGGCUGCCGCAGGCCCUGAAAAGCAGUGGCGGGCUCGCUGUCGCACCGAGCGUAGUAGCAUACAUCUCGCUCUGGUCGCGCCGCGGGUUCCGGCCGUUAAACCACCUUUUUAACCCAAGGUUGACCUCGGAUCAGGUAGGAAGACCCGCUGAACUUAAGCAUAUCAAUAAGGCGGAGGAA
rnacentral:rRNA from 1 species